GUCAGCCUACGGGGCGCAGCAGUGGGGAAUAUUGCACAAUGGGGGAAACCCUGAUGCAGCGACGCCGCGUGAGUGAGGAAGUAUUUCGGUAUGUAAAGCUCUCUCAGCAGGGAAGAAAAUGACGGUACCUGACUAAGAAGCCCCGGCUAACUACGUGCCAGCAGCCGCGGUAAUACGUAGGGGGCAAGCGUUAUCCGGAUUUACUGGGUGUAAAGGGAGCGUAGACGGCGCGGCAAGUCUGAAGU
rnacentral:rRNA from 1 species